GUGAAUCAUCGAAUCUUUGAACGCAAAUUGCACUCUCUUCGGAGAGUAUGCCUGUUUGAGGGUCAGCCUCAAAAAAAAUCGACAUCGUCGCUGUUUCUCGGUUACCUUCGUCGGAAAUUGGGUCCUCUUACACCUUUGGGUUUUAACCGUCUUAACAUUUUCUUUACGAUUCCCCUGUCGUUUCUCAGAUUUACUUCUUACACGUUUAAGGUACUCGCUCUUUAUUCGACGUUGCCGUUGCCUCGGCUCUCU
rnacentral:misc_RNA from 1 species